ACUCCUGCGGGAGGCAGCAGUGGGGAAUUUUGGACAAUGGGCGAAAGCCUGAUCCAGCAAUGCCGCGUGAGUGAAGAAGGCCUUCGGGUUGUAAAGCUCUUUUGUCAGGGAAGAAACGGUGAGAGCUAAUAUCUUUUGCUAAUGACGGUACCUGAAGAAUAAGCACCGGCUAACUACGUGCCAGCAGCCGCGGUAAUACGUAGGGUGCAAGCGUUAAUCGGAAUUACUGGGCGUAAAGCGUGCGCAGGCGGUUUUGUAAGUCUGAUGUGAAAUCCCCGGGCUCAACCUGGGAAUUGCAUUGGAGACUGCAAGGCUAGAAUCUGGCAGAGGGGGGUAGAAUUCCACGUGUAGCAGUGAAAUGCGUAGAUAUGUGGAGGAACACCGAUGGCGAAGGCAGCCCCCUGGGUCAAGAUUGACGCUCAUGCACGAAAGCGUGGGGAGCAAACAGGAUUAGAUACCCCUGUAGUCCCA
rnacentral:rRNA from 1 species